rnacentral:rRNA from 1 species
CCUACGGGUGGCAGCAGUGAGGAAUAUUGGUCAAUGGGAGGAAUCCUGAACCAGCCAUGCCGCGUGCAGGACGACGGCUCUACGAGUUGUAAACUGCUUUUGUACCGGGGUAAAAUGCCUUACGUGUAGGGUUUUGAAAGUACGGUACGAAUAAGGAUCGGCUAACUCCGUGCCAGCAGCCGCGGUAAUACGGAGGAGGCGAGCGUUAUCCGGAUUUAUGGGGUUUAAAGGGUGCGUAGGGGGAAUGCCAAGUCAGCGGUAAAAUCGCGGGGCUAAACCUAGCUCCGCCGUUGAAACUGGCGUUCUUGAGUGGGCGAGAGGUAUGCGGAAUGCGUGGUGUAGCGGUGAAAUGCAUAGAUAUCACGAAGAACUCCGAUUGCGAAGGCAGCAUACCGGCGCCCAACUGACGCUGAAGCACGAAAGCGUGGGUAUCGAACAGGAUUAGAUACCCUAGUAGUC